rnacentral:rRNA from 1 species
CCUACGGGAGGCAGCAGUGAGGAAUAUUGGUCAAUGGACGAGAGUCUGAACCAGCCAAGUAGCGUGAAGGAUGACUGCCCUAUGGGUUGUAAACUUCUUUUAUAUGGGAAUAAAAUGUUCCACGUGUGGGAUUUUGUAUGUACCAUAUGAAUAAGGAUCGGCUAACUCCGGGCCAGCAGCCGCGGUAAUACGGAGGAUCCGAGCGUUAUCCGGUUUUAUUUGGUUUAAAGGGAGCGUAGGUGGAUGGUUAAGUCAGUUGUGAAAGUUUGCGGCUCAACCGUAAAAUUGCAGUUGAAACUGGCAGUCUUGAGUACAGUAGAGGUGGGCGGAAUUCGUGGUGUAGCGGUGAAAUGCUUAGAUAUCACGAAGAACUCCGAUUGCGAAGGUAGCUCACUGGACUGCAACUGACACUGAGGCUCGAAAGUGUGGGUAUCAAACAGGAUUAGAUACCCCAGUAGUC